rnacentral:lncRNA from 1 species
UUCUAAUAAAAUAUAACAUAUAAAUUUAGAAAAUAUUUUAUUCUAAAUUUUUGAAUAAACAUAAUUUACAAAUAUUUAUUGAUUUAAAAUAAAUUAAAAUAACUGUUACGUGCAGUUGCACGUAUGUCUCAACUAGUAUAUAUAUAAUGCAAAAUAAAUUUGGGUUUGGGUCGGAUUCGGAUUCAGGUCGGGUAUAGUCAUAAUCCAUAUCCGUUGGAUUUUUAUUUUCGAUAUCCACAUCCGAAUCCAUAUCCGUUUAGCAUUAAAUAUAUCUGUGCCAUUCGAAUUCGGGUAAUAUUUCAAGUAUUUGUACCCAUCGACAUCCCUAAUGAUGGAUGAGAAUGACGGGUGCAAAAUGGCUGAAAUGAAUGCUUUUACUUGGCUAAAAAAAGGCUUAAUUAUAUACAACUCCUUGUAAAUAUAGUGAACACCAAAUAUAUCUCAACAAAGUUCAACUUUUAACUCUUAUCCCUACAAAAGUCCAGUGAUACCGUUAGAGAACUGUUUAUUUUUUAACAGCAGAUAAGUGAAAUGUCAAUUUUGUCAUCACAAAUACAUCUCUCCAAAAGCCCCAGCUGUUAUAAUCGUGCAGAAAUAUCUAUCCAAAAAAUUUUCAAUGGUCAUCUUUUUCUUUUUAACACCCAACUCAAUCCACCAUUGUUGCAAUCUCUUCUCUCGCUCUUUUUUUUUUCUAAACUUUUUUUUGAGCAAAAAUAUAUAUAAAAAAAUGAUAGAUGAAAUUGAAUAAGAAAGCAACACAAGUUUGAUAUGGGCGAAAUAACAUUCGUCGUGAAUGAAUGGAGACGGAGAAAUUCUAAUUGCGGAUUCGAAACUAGCAUAAAUGAGAGAGAGGAAGGGGCGAAACUAGCAUAAAGAAAAGAGAAGAAGAGGAAGAAGAAGAAGGGUUUCUAUUGCUAGAGUUUUGAUUGAGAGGUGUAAUAUAAGAGAGAUAAAGAUAUCAAUUUACCUUAUUAACUAAUCAGAAUUAAGUAUUUUACCUCUGAUUAACUAAAUUUUUCUAAUGGAUCCUACCAAUAGGGGCAUAUUUAAAAACAUUAAGACUUUUGCACGGAUAACAUAAAAAUAUAUUUAUAAUUUGCUAUGUUUACAGAAAGUUGUAUAUAAUUAACCCAAAAAAAAUGACUCUCUCAAUAAAUCUUAUGAAAUAGCUUUUUUAGGCCUCUAUAUUGGAUAUUAUAGUUAUUUUUUUAUUAUUAAUAAAAUUUUAUAUAUUAAAAAAUGUAAGAAUGAGCGGUGAAUUAUUUGUAAUUUUUU